rnacentral:rRNA from 1 species
UACGUAGGGUGCGAGCGUUAAUCGGAAUUACUGGGCGUAAAGCGCGCGCAGGCGGUCACGCAGGUCAUCUGUGAAAGCACUCGGCUCAACCGGGUUGUUGCGGGUGAAACCGUGUGGCUAGAGUCCGGAAGAGGAGAGUGGAAUUCCUGGUGUAGCGGUGAAAAUGCGCAGAUAUCAGGAAGAACACCAAUGGCGAAGGCAGCUCUCUGGGGACGGUACUGACGCUGAGACGCGAAAGCGUGGGGAGCGAACAGG